rnacentral:rRNA from 1 species
AGUGAACGCUGGCGGUAGGCCUAACACAUGCAAGUCGAACGGCAGCACAGUAAGAGCUUGCUCUUACGGGUGGCGAGUGGCGGACGGGUGAGGAAUACAUCGGAAUCUACUUUUUCGUGGGGGAUAACGUAGGGAAACUUACGCUAAUACCGCAUACGACCUACGGGUGAAAGCAGGGGAUCUUCGGACCUUGCGCGAUUGAAUGAGCCGAUGUCGGAUUAGCUAGUUGGCGGGGUAAAGGCCCACCAAGGCGACGAUCCGUAGCUGGUCUGAGAGGAUGAUCAGCCACACUGGAACUGAGACACGGUCCAGACUCCUACGGGAGGCAGCAGUGGGGAAUAUUGGACAAUGGGCGCAAGCCUGACCCAGCCAUACCGCGUGGGUGAAGAAGGCCUUCGGGUUGUAAAGCCCUUUUGUUGGGAAAGAAAAGCAGCAGGUUAAUACCCCGCUGUUCUGACGGUACCCAAGGAAUAAGCACCGGCUAACUUCGUG